GCUAGGCUCUUCAAGGAAGUGGGUUUUCUCAGACUUAUAAAAGGAAUUGAAAAUCAGAAGGAGUUAAAAAGUCUUACUAAUCUUUAUUUUAUGGAUGAUACUUUACUAUUUUGUGCAGAAAAGAAAGAGAGCAUCUUGACCACCAAGGUAUCUUGUUUGCUUUUGAAGAAACUUUAGGACUCAAGAUUAACUUUCACAAAAGCUUUCUGUUG
rnacentral:lncRNA from 1 species